GCGCAACAACAGCAAGUACGUCCCGCUCUGAUACCACCUGUCACAGGAUGAGUAUUUUGCGCAGCUAACCCGUGCGGCACUUAGACAAUUUGCCAAAGGUUGUUAAGUAAGCCUUGAGCUUCUCGAACUAGAGAAGAAAGCAAUGAAGCCAAAUGAAGAACUUGUAUUGCACUAAAGAGAGAUUUACAAUGCUUGAGUUGC
rnacentral:lncRNA from 1 species